rnacentral:rRNA from 1 species
GAUGAACGCUGGCGGCGUGCUUAACACAUGCAAGUCGAGCGAAGCACCUCUCCCGAAGAUUGACACAGCUUGCUGUAGAUUGAUUCAUUUGAGGUGACUGAGUGGCGGACGGGUGAGUAACGCGUGGGUAACCUGCCUCAUAGAGGGGGACAGCAGUUGGAAACGACUGCUAAUACCGCAUAGUAAGAAGAAUUCGCAUGUUUUCUUCUUGAAAGAUUUAUCGCUAUGAGAUGGACCCGCGUCUGAUUAGCUAGUUGGUAAGGUAACGGCUUACCAAGGCGACGAUCAGUAGCCGGCUUGAGAGAGUGAACGGCCACAUUGGGACUGAGACACGGCCCAAACUCCUACGGGAGGCAGCAGUGGGGAAUAUUGCACAAUGGGGGAAACCCUGAUGCAGCGACGCCGCGUGAGUGAAGAAGUAUUUCGGUAUGUAAAGCUCUAUCAGCAGGGAAGAUAAUGACGGUACCUGACUAAGAAGCCCCGGCUAACUACGUG